rnacentral:rRNA from 1 species
UACGGGGGGGGCAAGCGGUUGUUCGGAAUUACUGGGCGUAAAGGGCUCGUAGGCGGCCAACUAAGUCGGAUGUGAAAUCCCCAAGCUUAACUUGGGAACUGCAUCCGAUACUGGAUGGCUUGAAUCCGGGAGAGGGAUGCAGAAUUCCAGGUGUAGCGGUGAAAUGCGUAGAUAUCUGGAGGAAUACCGGUGGUGUAGACGGCUCUCUGGACCGCCACUGACGCUGAGACACGAAAGCGUGGGUAGCAAACAGG